rnacentral:lncRNA from 1 species
AGAGGCAGGAAUUUCUUUGCAAGCCAGAAAGAAAGGAAAAUCAGACAUCUGGAGAGAAAAGCUGAGAUUUCUGAAGUUCUCAACAGUAAAGAGUAGAGACAAGGUUUCACCAUGUUGGCUGGGCUGGUCUUGAACUCCUGACCUCAAGUGAUCUGCCUGCCUUGGCUUCCCAAAGUGCUUGGAUUACAGGCAUGAGCCACCAUGCCCAACCACCAUUGGCAUUGUAGUCCUCACUCUCAACAUCCCCUGCAGCCAACUGCUAUUCUGAUUUUCCCUCCAGAAACUGACUUCACCAGUUCUAGAACUUCAUUAAAAUGGAUCAUACAGUAUGUAUUCUUAUCUGCAGUCUUCUUACACUUCCAUGUUUUUGAAAUGCAGCCAUG